AUUCCCAUUCCAAAUCCUAGAGCUAGGGUUCUCUCGAGAGAAAGAGAACCAUGGAGGUUUCAUGUCUCCAACUCACUCGCUACCGUCAGCGGCUCCGACCACCACGAGGGGUUGUCGACGGCGACGCCAGCAUCUUCGCCGGAAGAAGCACCGCCGGUUGCGCCAGACCGUCGUCUUGCCCCCUUCUUCUUCGCGCGAAAACGGCCCCCAGCCCAAGAUCUCGCCGUUCUCGCCAUCGCCGGCGAAAUCCACGACCGUAAGCCGCGAGCCUAAGCCGCGCUGGUGACGUUGUCCGCUACCGAAGUCGUCGCCGGCUGUCGGGUUCUCUACGCCUCCUUUCUCCUUCGCGCGCGAACUCUUUCCUUCCUCCAUAGAACAACGACGACUCGCACAGGGACACCACCAGCGCCACGAAUCACAGCCAAAGUUGCCGCCGUUCGUCCAGUUNCCANUUCUAGGGCCAUGAACAAAACCGACCACCGUUGUCUUCGUCGGAAAACGCUUACACGUCAGAGUCGCCGGCACCACCCUCAUUCAAGAGUCUUUUUCCUCCGAUGCCAAACAUUUCCAGCAACAUCAUCGCCGGUGUCAAGGGCGAAAACACCUUUCCUUCUCUUUUUCUCAUUUCCUUUUCAAUAUUGUUCAUUUGAAUGUUGUUCUGUUGAUGGAAGUUUCUUCCAUUGGGAUAUUUUGGGUUAAAUCUGAUGGGAUUUUGUUUUACAGGUCAUAGAGGACAUUGAGCAUGGAGUUCGAGAUGUCAAUCUAGAGGGAAGGCGCUGGGUGUAACGGCUGGGUGUAACGGUUGUUCAAAGGAUAGAGCUUAGAAUCUGGGUUUUGGUUUGUUCAAUCUGCUUGAUGGAGGUAGAAGAUGGUGUAGCGUUUCCUAUUCCGAUAUAUGCUGAUAUGAAAAAUUAUUUAUGUUUGUCUUUUAUUUACAUGCCUUUCUGGACAUUUCUGGAUAUGAGCAAAGAGGGUAUUNGGGUCUUGCUGUUGGGGAUAUAUGCCUAUGCCUAUGUUUCAAUGUAUAUGUUUCAAUGUAGUUUAUAAGUGAUGAAAUUUGCAGGCCUUGAAACAACCAUAUACAAGCAAACGAGCACAACCAUAUACAUGUAUUAUUCAUUCAUAUCUGAUUCAUUAAACAGAUGCCUUCACAUACGAUCAAGUUCAGAGACUAUGACUUACCUCCGCCGCUUUAAACGAACCAGUAAAAGUAAAUGGCUUUCUUCUCCUUUGACCGUGAGGUCCGCUCCUCUUGUGCUCUCUGUACUGUUUUUCUUUUUUUUCUUCAAUGUGUAUAUCCUUUGAUCGUCUUUUCUCUCUUUUCGUUGUGAUAGUGUGUCCUUGCUUCUUGGUCUCCUCCUCCUUGUAUCCCCUCUAUUGUACCAUUUCAUGCCGUUUCAUAGGGUAUCCUCUGUCGCAGGAUUUUCUUUGUCUUUUUCUUGUUUCAUGUUUCCACUUUUCAGUUGGUAUAUGGUUGUUUAAAAUUCUUUCCAUUUCAAUGCAUGACUGCUGCUACUGCCUAAGAAUUUCCAGCAAGAAACAAAUACCUUUUUUCACUCAGCUACCGUGGAAACACAUUCUAAGCAUUCACUGGAUAGCACUGCAUAGCCGAGCACUGCAACUGUUGCUUCAGGACUAGGAAACAGAGUUGACUCUCUCUUUUUUUAUUAUUAUUUUUUUUUUAUCUUUCCUUCUCUUUUUCUUUCUUUAUAUUUUGUAGAGUACAAAUAUUUAUAUAUAUUAGUAACCCG
rnacentral:lncRNA from 1 species